rnacentral:rRNA from 1 species
GACGUAGGGCGCGAGCGUUGUCCGGAUUUAUUGGGCGUAAAGAGCUCGUAGGCGGCUUGUCGCGUCGACUGUGAAAACCCACGGCUUAACUGUGGGCUUGCAGUCGAUACGGGCAGGCUAGAGUUCGGUAGGGGAGACUGGAAUUCCUGGUGUAGCGGUGAAAUGCGCAGAUAUCAGGAGGAACACCGGUGGCGAAGGCAGCACUCUGGGACGUGACUGACGCUGAGACGCGAAAGCGUGGGGAGCAAACAGG